GACCGGAGUGGACGCAUCACUGGUGUUCGGGUUGUCAUGCCAAUGGCACUGCCCGGUAGCUAAAUGCGGAAGAGAUAAGUGCUGAAAGCAUCUAAGCACGAAACUUGCCCCGAGAUGAGUUCUCCCUGACUCCUUGAGAGUCCUGAAGGAACGUUGAAGACGACGACGUUGAUAGGUCGGGUGUGUAAGCGCAGCGAUGCGUUGAGCUAACCGGUACUAAUGAACCGUGAGGCUUAACCUUACAACGCCGAAGGGGUUUUG
rnacentral:rRNA from 1 species